rnacentral:lncRNA from 1 species
GCAUUUCUAGCGUAGGUUGGGAAGCCGACACUCCCCGGUAACUGGCAGGGGGAGGCGGUUUGCGGGACGCUGCCGGGGGGCGCUGAGCUUUGUGCCAACCUCUCCCAGCGUCCGGCCAGCCAGGAGAAAGCUGCGAAUGCAGGAGGGGAUGAAGGCGGAGAAUGGGUGAGGAAGGAAGGGGCUGGGAAAUGGGAAGAGGUCGUUCUGCCCCCGAAACUACAUAAUGGCUGGGAAGGACCGCCAAACAAGACUGGAACCAGUAGGAAGUUGUACGGUAUGAAGAAACAGGCCCAAGGAAGCUUCCAGAUUUUGUCAGAUGGUAGAUUCCAAGUCUCCAACUUCUACUGCUGCUUGGUGCUGUCUAACCGUCCCUUAAUGGCACAGAUUCACUGGACAGAGGAAGAAGAGGAUGGCCAAGAUUUACUGGUUGAAAGACGAGACAGCUCCCUUCUGAUGCUUUCUAUCUGCCUUUGAAAUUCAUCAGCUAAGGGUGAGGAAGAGAUGGGAGAAUUGGAGUUUGAUUAUGUCAUAGAAGCAACUAUACAGUUCAGUUGUGUUGGAGGACCUCACCAUCAGGUCUCGCUCCCUCUUAGUAAGUGUCAAGAGAGACCAAGGCCACUGUUGCUUCUUCCAAAUUCCAUUUUAUAAGGACUCUCAAUUUUAAAGUUGAGAAGAUGGAUCAUAUGCCUAUCUGCUUCCAGUGUCCUCUUGCUUCCAGGCUGAAGGAGCUGUGUUCUCCAGGACAUGGAAUUAUUGACAUCAUCUACAAGGCAUAUUAACCAUGAAGAAAGACAGAUUUCAACUGUACGUCCUCUUUCUGCAGAGACUGAAGAAGAGAGUUCCAUGGACCCCAGCUUCAAAAAACAUGACUCUACAGUGUGAAAUAAUUGAGGGUAAGCACUGCGAAUUUUUUUUUUUUUGGGGGGGGGCCACACCCACAGGAAUGUGGAAAAUCUCAGGCUAGGGGUUAAAUCGAAGCUGCAACUGCCAGCCUACACUAUAGCCAUAGCAACUUGGGAUCCAAGCUGGGUCUGUGACCUACACCACAGCUCAUAGCAACGCUGGAUCCCCAACCCCACUGAGUGGAGCCAGAAAUGGAACCCAGAUCUUCAUGGAUAUUAGCCAGAUUCAUUUUCACUGUGCUGCAACGGGAACUCCAGCACUGUGAAUUUGGGACAUGAUGUCUCCCACACUGAGUAGAUAGUCCUGUACAUAUUGAGUCCUGAAAACACUGAAUGAAUGAAUCAAAUAGCCUUUUUUGGAGAUCCACUGUACUGGUAGUAUGCUAUGUGUUUUAUGUAUGUUCUUUCAUUCUUCUAAUGUUGUUCUAUGGCUGAGGAAACUGAAGCUAACUAGAAGUAAAAGAAGCUGAAGAUCUAGAAUUGACAAGCAUAGAAAGGAGAUAUGACUAGAUCUGAAGUUCAAGGGGAGGACUCCUGCAUGAGCAGGGCCUUAGUCUGGGUGUUGAGACAUGUUGUGAGAUUCACCAUCAUGGCUCAGCUGGUCCUAGUUCCAGGCCCAGCUGUGGGGGGCCAUCACCUCUGAGGUCUUCUCAGGCCACCAUGUGGCAGCACCAUUGUCAGGCACUUGUUGUCAGUGACAAAAAUGGACUUCCUAUUUGCUCCUUCUAAUAGCCCCUUAAAAUAACACAUGAGUCUUUCAUAGUUUUAGCUUCCACUUGAGAACCUGCAUUCAGACUAAAACCUUUUUGUUGUGGUUGAGAUUGAUUUGCAAUCUGAUUCUUGCAUUAGAUAGCCAUUCUUAGGCUAUUAGGAGCCCCAUAGAAAAUUGCUCCAAUGGAUCCAUAUCACUUUGGGAAGUUCCCGUGGAAUUGUUCUUCCGGAGAAAUGAUAAAAACUCUGGGUCAGUCGCUAGAGUGUCAGCAGAUUGAAUGGCCAAAAGAGAAUGCCUCCCAUCUGUGGCCCUGAAGUGCUGGGUCAGCAGAGGAAAGUGGUUAAAAUAAUUACCGUGGAGUCAGGGAAUUUGGCAGAUUUGGGAGAUCACACAUGUAAAGGGACCUUUUUUCCUCCGUUUUCUUAUCUCAGACCCAUGUGAAUUGAUGAUCAUGAGGGCACCAAGGGGACAGAAAUAGACGUUAUCCUGCUCCGGUCCCAAACCGGGAAGAAAGAAAUAACCAACCCUACUUCUCUACAUGGGUGGAAUGAGGGCUGACCAGUAUGCAAAUGGCAGCAGACAUAUGGUUAUGUUCUGAUUAGCUACUAGUGAUUUGAAGCCAUGCAUAUGUAUCAACUGCUGAUGUAUGUAUGGACAAUACAUCUGUUUACACAAAUAGACUUGAAGCAUUUUUUUUUCCAUUUUUCUUAAGGAUCUAGUACUGGAUGCCCAUAGGAAAAGAUGUUUUACUUCCUUUUCCCAUUAAUUUUGAUCAGCCAGAAUCAAACUACUUUGUUUUCUCUUAUUCUUACUUUUGUGAAGGAACUUUUUCUUUGUGUGUGUAGCUUUACUAACCAUAUUGUUUGGGCUCUUGAAAAAGGAGGUAUGGGAGUUCCCAUUGUGGCCUAACAAGAUUGGCAGCAUCUCUGGAGUACUGGGAUACAGGUUAAGUCCCCGGCCCAGCACAACAGAUUAAGGAUCUGGCAUUGCCUCAGCUAUAGCAUAGGUUGAAACUGCAGCUCGGAUCUAAUCCCUGGCCUGGGAACUCUAUGUGCCAUGGGGUAGUCAAAAAAAAAAAAAAAAAAAAAAAAAAAAAAA